rnacentral:lncRNA from 1 species
UUUUUCAUAGAUUCAUCAUCAUUCAAAGAUGUUAAGAAAAUAUUUUUGCAUUUUUUGAAUAUUGGAAACUAUUUUAAAUGAAUUAAAAAUAACCAGAAAAGAGAAAAUUCACAAAAAAUAUUAAAUGUCAUCAUAAAAAAUAUUAAAAAUCAUUUUCAGAAACUAGAAUUAAAAAGGGAAAUAAUGCAAUUGGUCCCAUAUUUUUUGGAUAUAAAAUGAAAGAAUUAUGAAGUUUUG